rnacentral:lncRNA from 1 species
UUGCUGGUAGAAAAAAAAAAGUCCAUUUAUAAGUAGAAUUACAGAAAAAAAAGAAUUUUAUUUUUACCAAAUUUACUGCUGGAUACUAUCUUAUGAUCAUAAACAAGCUUCUGUCCAAAUUUGGUAGAAAUCCAGUAUAGUUUAAGAAAGUUAUCAAAAUUUCAAAAACUUUAACCACAGAGUGAAUAUUUGUGGACGCCGCCGCCGGCAAUGACACCGACGCAAUGUAGGAUCGCUAUGUCUCGCUUUUUCGACUUAAGUUGAAGACUCGAAGAAAAUCUUGAGUUAAUACUACAGUUAACAGGAAAAUUUUGGCAGCAGUUUUAAUACCACUAUCUAACAUGUUUAAGUGGUAAAAGUUGAAACAGGAAAUUAAAAGACUGCAAAUAUUUCAAUUUUACGGAAAUCCAAACACAAAGAU